rnacentral:rRNA from 1 species
ACUCCUACGGGAGGCAGCAGUGGGGAAUAUUGCACAAUGGGGGAAACCCUGAUGCAGCCAUGCCGCGUGUGUGAAGAAGGCCUUCGGGUUGUAAAGCACUUUCAGUAGGGAGGAAGGUAGUGUAGUUAACACCUGCACCUAUUUGACGUUACCUACAGAAGAAGCACCGGACUAACUCCGUGCCAGCAGCCGCGGUAAUACGGAGGGUGCGAGCGUUAAAUCGGAAUUACUGGGCGUAAAGCGUCAUGCAGGCGGUCCUGUUAAGUCAGAUGUGAAACGCCCGGGGUCUUAACCUCGGAAUUGCUAGUUUGAAACUGGUCAGGCGUAGAGUCUUAGGUAGAAGGGGUUAGAAUUUCAGGUGUAGCGGUGAAACUGCGUAGAGAUCUG